GACGUAGGGCGCGAGCGUUGUCCGGAUUUAUUGGGCGUAAAGAGCUCGUAGGCGGCUUGUCGCGUCGACUGUGAAAUCCCGCGGCUCAACCGCGGGUCUGCAGUCGAUACGGGCAGGCUAGAGUUCGGUAGGGGAGAUCGGAAUUCCUGGUGUAGCGGUGAAAUGCGCAGAUAUCAGGAAGAACACCCGUGGCGGAAGGCGGCUCUCUGGGACGGUACUGACGCUGAAGACGCGAAAGCGUGGGGAGCGAACAGG
rnacentral:rRNA from 1 species